AUUUCUUUUGUUCUCACCGUAAGAUGCGACGACUUUUGCUCUUCUCUUCUAUUUCAUCACGGUGUGACGACACCGAUCGACUUCCACCGACUGAGAUAUAGAUGCAACGACUUUUGCUCUUCUCUUCCAUCAUGGUGUGACGACACCGAUCGAUUUCCACCGUCUGAGAUGGAGAUGCGACUCUUGCUCCUCUCUACCGUCGGAUUUACUUCCAUAAUCGACGAGAGGCAAUUGCAGUUCCGAAAGGAUAUCGCUGUUCACUUUGUUGUUCAUAUGACUGAAAACAAAAAAUAGGUGUUCUUCCAGAAGAAGAAGAAGAAGUCAAAAAAUGAGAAGUGGUAUUAAUUUUUAGGCUUUGUUACAACAAAAGUGUAACAAAAGGUUUAGGGAAUUGUUCUCUUGUGUUAUUACUCUAUCCCAUAGGAUAUAACAUAUAUAUAAUAAUAAUACAAUUUUAGGGUUU